GCUGGUGUAGCUCAAUUGGUAGAGCGUUGGUCUUGUAAACCAAAGGUCCCAGGUUCGAGUCCUGGUAUCAGCA